AAGGCUUUAAGUUAACUAAACUAAUAGCCUUCAAAGCUGUAAAUAAAGGUAGAAAAUUCUUUAAGCCUUA
rnacentral:tRNA from 1 species